AUUGAACGCUGGCGGCAUGCUUUACACAUGCAAGUCGAACGGCAGCGCGGGCUUCGGCCUGGCGGCGAGUGUCGCACGGGUGAGUAAUACAUCUGAACGUGCCCAGUAGUGCUGGAUAGCUCCGCGAAAGCCGUAUUAAUACCACCUACGACCUGCUGGUGAAAGCGGGGGAUGUUCGGACCCGGCGGUUUGGGAGGGGCCGACGGCUGACUAGCCAGCUGGUGGGGUAGUGGCCUACCAAGGCUAGGAUGGGUAGCUGGCCUGAGAGGGUGACGGGCCACAUGGGGACUGAGAAACGGGCCAGACGCCUAGGGGAGGAAGCAGUGGGGAAUAUUGCACAAUGGGCGGAGGCCUGAUGCAGCAACGCCGCGUGAGGGAUGACGGCCUGCGGGUGGUAAAACGCUUUCGCCUGUGACGAAGCGUGAGGGACGGUAAUGGGUAAAGAAGCACCGGCUAACUACGUG
rnacentral:rRNA from 1 species